rnacentral:pre_miRNA from 1 species
UUUCUACUCCCUCCAUCCAAAAAUACUUGUCAUCAAAAUGGAUAAAAAUAGAUGUAUCUAAAACUAAAAUACGUCUAGAUACAUUUCCUUUUAUCCAUUUUGAUGACAAGUAUUUCUGGACGGAGGGAGUAUUUG